CGUAGGAUGGAGUAACGGUAACUCACCGCGCGCAUAACGCGGAGUUGCGGGUUCGAUCCCCGCUCCUGCAA
rnacentral:tRNA from 1 species